rnacentral:rRNA from 1 species
AUACGGAGGGUCCGAGCGUUAUCCGGAAUCAUUGGGUUUAAAGGGUCCGUAGGCGGGAAUCUAAGUCAGUGGUGAAAUCUUGCAGCUCAACUGUAAAAUUGCCAUUGAUACUGGAUUUCUUGAAUUAGUGUGAAGUGGUUAGAAUGUGUAGUGUAGCGGUGAAAUGCAUAGAUAUUACACAGAAUACCAAUUGCGAAGGCAGAUCACUAACACUAUAUUGACGCUGAGGGACGAAAGCGUGGGGAGCGAACAGGAUUAGAAACCCCGGUAGUCC